GUCUUUUUGAAAAUAAUAUAAAGUCAAAUCUGCCCACUGAAUUUAUUUAAAGGGCUGCAGUAUAUUGACUGUACAAAGGUAGCAUAAUCAUUAGUCUUUUAAUUGAAGACUUGUAUGAAUGAUUUGAUGAGAUAUAAGCUGUCUCUUUAUUAAUAUUAGAAUUUAAUUUUUUAGUUAAAAAGCUAAAAUAAUUAUAAAAGACGAGAAGACCCUAUAGAGUUUAAUAUUUUUAUAAAUUUAAAUUUUAUAUAAAAUUUUAAAUUUAAAUUUAUGGAAAUAUUUCAUUGGGGUGAUGGAAAAAUUUAUUAAACUUUUUUUAAAAUAAAAACAUUAAUAUAUGAUUAUAUGAUCCAUAAUUUAUGAUUAUAAGAAUAAAUUACCUUAGGGAUAACAGCGUAAUUUUUUUUUUUAGUUCGUAUAAAAAUUAAAGUUUGCGACCUCGAUGUUGGAUUAAGAUAAAAUUUAAAUGCAAAAGUUUAAAAUUUUGAUCUGUUCGAUCAUUAAAAUCUUACA
rnacentral:rRNA from 1 species